GGUUAAGCGACUAAGCGUACACGGUGGAUGCCCUGGCAGUCAGAGGCGAUGAAGGACGUGCUAAUCUGCGAAAAGCGUCGGUAAGGUGAUAUGAACCGUUAUAACCGGCGAUGUCCGAAUGGGGAAACCCAGUGCAAUUCGUUGC
rnacentral:rRNA from 1 species